rnacentral:rRNA from 1 species
UACGUAGGGGGCUAGCGUUGUCCGGAAUCAUUGGGCGUAAAGCGCGCGUAGGCGGCCCGGUAAGUCCGCUGUAAAAGUCAAAGGCUCAACCUUUGAAUGUCAGUGGAUACUGCCGGGCUAGAGUCCGGAAGAGGCGAGUGGAACUCCUGGUGUAGCGGUGAAAUGCGUAGAUAUCGAGAGGAACACCUGCGGCGAAGGCGGGUUGCUGGGCUGACACUGACGCUGAAGCGCGAAAGCUAGGGGAGCGAACGGG